rnacentral:rRNA from 1 species
CACGUUGGCCAACUACCCUGGUGGAUUCGGGAUACCCUCCGGGAAACUGAGGUUAAUCUCGAAUACGGCUCCCAGUCUGGAAGUGACGGGAGUCCGAAACGCUCAGGCACCACAGGAUGUGGCUGCGGCCGAUUAGGUAGACGGUGGGGUAACGGCCCACCGUGCCGAUAAUCGGUACGGGUUGUGAGAGCAAGCGCCCGGAGACGGUAUCUGAGACAAGAUACCGGGCCCUACGGGGCGCAGCAGGCGCGAAACCUUUACACUGCACGCGAGUGCGAUAAGGGGACCCCGAGUGCGAGGGCAUACAGUCCUCGCUUUUGUACACCGUAAGGAGGUGUACGAACAAGGGCUGGGCAAGACCGGUGCCAGCCGCCGCGGUAAUACCGGCAGCCCGAGUGAUGGCCGCUAUUAUUGGGCCUAAAGCGUCCGUAGCCGGCCAGACAGGUCCGUCGGGAAAUCCACACGCUUAACGUGUGGGCGUCCGGCGGAACCCAGCUGGCUUGGGACCGGACGACCCGAGGGGUACGUCCAGGGUAGGAGUGAAAUCCCGUAAUCCUGGACGGACCGCCGGUGGCGAAAGCGCCUCGGGAGGACGGAUCCGACGGUGAGGGACGAAAGCCAGGGUCACGAACCGGAUUAGAUACCCGGGUAGUCCUGGCCGUAAACGAUGUCUGCUAGGUGUGGCACAGGCCACGAGCCUGUGCUGUGCCGCAGGGAUGCCG